GAGGGACCAACAUGAGGCCCGUGGACCAAAAGCGGUCCUCCAGAGGGUCCAACAUGAGGCCCGUGGACCAAAAGCGGUCCUCCAGAGGGACCAACAUGAGGCCCGUGGACCAAAAGCGGUCCUCCAGAGGGUCCAACAUGAGGCCCGUGGGCCAAAAGCGGUCCUCCAGAGGGUCCAACAUGAGGCCCGUGGACCAAAAGCGGUCCUCCAGAGGGUCCAACAUGAGGCCCGUGGACCAAAAGCGGUCCUCCAGAGGGUCCAACAUGAGGCCCGUGGGCCAAAAGCGGUCCUCCAGAGGGUCCAACAUGAGGCCCGUGGACCAAAAGCGGUCCUCCAGAGGGUCCAACAUGAGGCCCGUGGACCAAAAGCGGUCCUCCAGAGGGACCAACAUGAGGCCCGUGGGCCAAAAGCGGUCCUCCAGAGGGUCCAACAUGAGGCCCGUGGGCCAAAAGCGGUCCUCCAGAGGGUCCAACAUGAGGCCCGUGGGCCAAAAGCGGUCCUCCAGAGGGACCAACAUGAGGCCCGUGGGCCAAAAGCGGUCCUC